rnacentral:rRNA from 1 species
UACGUAGGGGGCAAGCGUUGUCCGGAAUCAUUGGGCGUAAAGCGCGUGUAGGCGGCUCGAUAAGUCUGCUGUGAAAGUCCAGGGCUCAACCCUGGGAUGCCGGUGGAUACUGUCGAGCUCGAGUCCGGAAGAGGCGAGUGGAAUUCCUGGUGUAGCGGUGAAAUGCGCAGAUAUCAGGAGGAACACCAAUGGCGAAGGCAGCUCGCUGGGACGGUACUGACGCUGGAGACGCGAAAGCGUGGGGAGCAAACAGG